UUCUUCUCCUUCGUAAUCUCAGUUCACCUUUUCUCCACAUUGAACCUCCAUCUCCGACAACCUCAUCUCAGUUGCAGUCGCCUUGCGUUUCGUUACCUCCUCUCUAAGCCGGCGUCGUCCCUGCACACGAUGAACCCUAACUCCAAACCCUAACUCCAAUUUGGCUUCGUCACAUCCGCCUCAAAAUCAAAGAAAAUUGAAACUGAAUGGCCUCAUCUUCGGGUACCAAGAAGUAUCCUCCGCGGCUUUACGAGAUUGGUAAAAUGCCUAUUCAAUCUCGGAGCAUGAACCACAGUUGUUUUCUGUCCAACCUUCAAGUAAUGAAAGAGUCUGUCGGUGAAGACGUUUGGCUUGAGUUAAGAGAAUCAGCUGUAGGCAUGAUUAUCAAGCUGAAGGAGUUGGAGUACACUUGGUCUGCAAAACAUGUUCAUUAUUUUCUGGUGAAUCAAUUGGCGAUUCAGUGCAGUCAUGAAGUUUGGUCUUUGAUAGAAGACCAGCCAUUGAGGUUCUCUCCGUAUGAGUUUGAAGAUAUUACAAGGUUAAAUUGUGAUCCCUUUGACACGCAAGAACAAAGGGAUGUGGCUCAUGAAGACUUUUGGGUGGAGAUGAAAGUUCCAAUUUCUGAAGGACCCAAGUUGAAUGAACUUCAAGCCCUUUUUCCGAUCAUCAGAAAUUGGCCUAGAGAGAAGCGUGUAAUGGUUGGCUUGUUGUGUCUACUAUCCAUUGGCAUAUUUGGCAUUUCAAGCAAUAGUAGAAUACCUCUGCAUUUGGCGAAAAGGGUGAUGGAUCCAGCAGCUUUCCAGCGCCAUCCAUGGGGUCGUUUAGCAUUAACCAGCCUUGUGGAUUCUAUUAAAGUGGUGACAUACGAAGAAAAGAAGAGUUACACACUACAUGGCUGUGUUCAUGCAUUGCUUAUUUGAAUAUACGAGUCUGUGCCAGGUUUAGGAGAGAUAUAUGGGCAUCAAAUAGAGGAAGCUGAGGUUCCGCUUCUAUCAUGGCAUGGUUCUCGUCAGCGUAUCAACUUCCCAAACUUCUGUGCACAGGAAAAGAAAAAAUAUCAGAAGAUUCGUGUAAGGCAUAUGAUUGUAAAGGCAAUGGAGGAUAGAUAUCCGAAAUGGGGCGAAGAUAAACCGCCUGAUGAUUUGGAUAACAUGAUAGUUGACAUCCUCAAUGAUCAGCU